GUACACUGUACACCUUAUGAAUUUCUGCGUCGGUGAGAGUUUCUUAAUCCAAUUCUUUUCUUUUACCCAUUUUUUUGUACGGAUUGGUGGGUUCCCUCCGCCGACUUCAAACUCUCAUGGGCGAAGAGCAGGUCAUUUAAAUACUUGUGUGUAUUUUGUCUCUGUGCUAUGCUCACGUGUAUAUUUAAAGAACAUGUAGAUGAUCAUUUAUUGCUGUUUGAAAUUUUAUGCCGCUGUAAAUUUUUAGUUUUUUUUUUGGGGGACUGUGUCUGUACCCAUAGUACACUGUACACCGUAUGAAUUUCUGCGUCGGUGAGAGUUUCUUAAUCCAAUUCUUUUCUUUUACCCAUUUUUUUGUACGGAUUGGUGGGUUCCCUCCUGAGCUGGGCAAGGGAAAUUCAAAAUUAGGGUUUUAAAGAGUAAAUUCAGGGUUGUUUUUGUUUUUUUUUCCACAUAGUUUAAUUAUGGUCACUAUGAAUUUUUUGGAAAACAAAACAACUGUAGAAAGAUUUUAUAAUUCUUUUUUUGCAGUGGUGUAAACGUAUUCGUGGUAUGAAUAUUUCACUGAAGGGUAACCUAUAAUCACACAAAUUGAAGUAACAUAAAGGAUUUGACAUUUUGCCAUAUAAUUGCAGCGAUUUUUCUUAAUAGAGUGGAGACUAGAGUCAGACAAAUACAAUUCAUGUAGCCAACCUGGAUGAGGAUGUGCUAGGGCUUUGAUAGCUUGUUUUAAAGGAAUCUGUCAAUAAAAC
rnacentral:lncRNA from 1 species